rnacentral:rRNA from 1 species
UUUAAGUGAAGAGUUUGAUCCUGGCUCAGAGUGAACGCUGGCGGUAGGCCUAACACAUGCAAGUCGAACGGCAGCACAGGAGAGCUUGCUCUCUGGGUGGCGAGUGGCGGACGGGUGAGGAAUACAUCGGAAUCUACUCUAUCGUGGGGGAUAACGUAGGGAAACUUACGCUAAUACCGCAUACGACCUACGGGUGAAA